AAAAUAUCAAUGGUGAAUAAUCAAAACGAGUUGUUUGUGUGUAAGCAAUAACAAAGACUCACCUCAUCUCCAGCUACUUCAUUAAGGUUCUCAUCAUGUAUGAACUCAUUGGAUAUUUCGCUCGUAGACGUGAUCGGACUCUUUGUAUGAAAUUCGACAUUUGCUUCUUUUUGUUGCACUCCGUGAACGUUAUAGUGAACGAAUCUUUCGAAACCACAUUCUUUGAGCAUAUCCUCUUCAAAUAUAUCUGGUACGUCACAACAUGUUGUAUGGUAAUA